UUUCUUUUCUCCUGAAUAGAAACGGAAACAUUUCUGUUUAACUUACGCCCCCUUCAGCAGGAGCCAACAUGUCUCAAAUGUCCGCAGAGUACCUGGGAAUGAGUCACUACCUGAUAUAUCCUCCUAAAUAUGGGUGGAGCAUGAACACACGCAGGAAUCUUCCAUGUUGGCUUGAUGAGUUGACAGAAGUCUUACUGAGCACAGUGUAGCAGGGCUCACUGGAAGAUCGGCUGGUUUGUUUUGUAUCACAGAUUUUUCAUUAGCACCAUCAUCCUGCACGGUGGACAUGGAGGCUCAGAGAAAGAGCAAUGGAUCGAAUGCAAUUUUUAUUCACAAACAUCAUUUAUGUUUGCAUGAUUUGAAAAUGCACAAUCAGCAUUUGAGGAACAUCUAUCUUCUAAAAACAAACAUCCCUGAAUACCCUCAACCCGAGUUUCAUGUGUUCAGUCUGAAACAUGACACACAGCAAGGAGGGUUACUGAGGAUCUGGAAGGACGAAGGCUUUAAGGAUCCUCACGGAGGCCUGAAGGAUCCAGACAGCCUGUCCCUGGUGUGGUGGAGUCUGGCUGUGGGCCCACAGGAGAUCCAGUCAGCUGAGACCAGGCUCCUGGACAGGUUCUACCCAAACCGGAUGGAGAAGCCAAAUUACCUGGGCAUAUUCAACCCACACCUGAGCAAGCAGCAGAGCUUCCUGUGGAGGUUUGCCACCUCUCCAGCCUUCAGUGAGACCUCCAGGUUUGGAUCGUACCGCUUCACCUUCCCCCUGCACGAAGUGGUGACCGCCUACAGCCAGCAGUUUUGCUCUGGAGCGCCUCCCAUCUUGAGGGUGUUCAAGACCUCUCUCUACAAUCAGGAAGUGCAGUACUCUGUGCUGGUCCACAGCCCGGCCUCUGAGCUCUUCUCAGAGUAUCCUUUGCUUCCGUAUGAUGACCCGAACGCCAUCUUCACUUACAGAGACGGACACUUCAUCUGGAGGUCACAGGCCAUGUGCGAGAAACACAGCUUUGAGUUGAUCCAAAAUCCCAACCAAAACCAGAUGUACCCUCGGAGUCUAUGUUCUUAUGAACAUCAGUUUUAUGUUUGGGAUAAUGUCGCCGUCGCCCUGCACGUGGAUCAUGGACAGAUGCUGAAGUUUGACUGUAAUCGACUGAGAGCAAACCUUACAUACUGUAAACAACCUGUAGAUCCAUCAGCCAAUUUUCGAACAGUCUUCCCAUUUGGUGGGAAACCUCAGAAUGUUUCACCUGGAAUCCACUAUGACAGUUUUGAAAAUGCUAACUCUCUGGUUGAACGUUUGUGGCCUGACGCAGGCUUCCCCCUGUUGAAGGAGCCUUCACUCAACCUCAUUUUCUAA
rnacentral:lncRNA from 1 species